GGGGACUUGGCGCAGUGGUAGCGCGUUUGUUUUGCAGCGGUCUCACCGACCCUUCAAACCUACAAAAGGUCAGGGGUUCAAACCCCCUAGUCUCCA